rnacentral:ncRNA from 1 species
UUUACGGAGAGUUUGAUCCUGGCUCAGGAUGAACGCUGGCGGCGUGCUUAACACAUGCAAGUCGAACGGUGAAGCCAAGCUUGCUUGGUGGAUCAGUGGCGAACGGGUGAGUAACACGUGAGCAACCUGCCCUGGACUCUGGGAUAAGCGCUGGAAACGGCGUCUAAUACUGGAUAUGAGCCUCUUCCGCAUGGUGGGGGUUGGAAAGAUUUUUUGGU